rnacentral:sRNA from 1 species
UUUUGAAUGAAUAAUGUAGAUAAUAAAACUGUUUACUAAA